UGAUUCUUCCCAAUAUAAAUCACUUUCAAAUCCAUUAAACAAUUCCUAAGAAAUGUAGAAGAGGUGUAAGAAAUCACAGACUUCAGGAAAACUGGUGGCUGGAUGGGAAAGAACCUCCCUGCUCCCACCCCAGACACCCAAAGGAAAAGCAUUUUCUAUUUAGCCAUUAUCUAUUUUCUUUGGUUGCAGCCAACUGGUCAUUCAUCACAUGUGUUACCAUCAGCUGGCCACAGUAAAUGCUAUUUCUGAUCUGGCACUACGGGGAAUAUGAACAAGUUUUUGAUGUAAUAGGCAGAGGAACGAGGACAGUCUUGUGGGAGGCCAGGCUCAUUAAUUCUGUCACUCAUGGGACAACUUGAUAUUUUCUUAAUUUUGAUUAUGACUAAUGUCCUGUUUCUCUUUUUUGUAAUUAAGUCUCAAGGAAAUGAAAAGCAAUUGCUGAAUGGGAAUGGAAACCUUGGUCCGUCUAGUGUUUGAGCACUGUAAGGCAGAAGAAGAAAGUAAGAAGUCCACAUAUGAUGCUGGAGGCUUCCUGGUCCUGCUGCUGCCAAUCUACAAAAUUCAGAUAACUGGCCCAGUGAUUAUGAUCUUCUCACUAUUGUCACAGUUGCUUUGAGAAGCUCCCACAGGAGAAGCCAGAUAAUUUGAAGAAAAGAACAGAGGCUGGAACUGGAAGGGAAGUUGAAAAGGGCCCAUGCAUCUGUGGAUGAGGGGAUCACAGCCUGUGGCAGAGCACCUCAGGUAUGCUUCUCAUGGUGCCAUGUCAUGCACCAAGUUUGCAG
rnacentral:lncRNA from 1 species